UUUGUGUGAUGUGCUAGGCAUAGUGUUUGUUCAUGUUAGAGCUAAACUUCCAUAGUGGAAGUUCUAUUUAUCUGACUUAGUGGUUUACGAUUUAACAUCUCAUACCUCACUGAGUGAUUCCCCUGUUACUCACUCCUCUUUCUUCCCAUUGCAGGUGAGCUUGCCGAGUAGUUGGAUAUCUGGACGGUUUGGUGUUUUUGGGAUAAUUGUAUUUAUUCGGUUUCAAUUAAUGAUUUAUACGACUUUUACAUUCAAUUUAUUUGACAUAUUUUUAUAAUUCAAUUUAAAGAUGUAUUUCUUUCGGAUUAAUUUUAUUAAAUGUUUUGAUAUUUUAUUCGGUACUGAAUAACUCGGUCUAAUUCGAUAUUUCGCUGGUAGUAACACGCCGUUCUCGAGAGAGGAAGAGACAGAUGUUACAAUUUGGUAUCAGAGCCAGGUUUCGUUCCGGCUCUGACCCGGGACGGUGAUUUAUGGGACUUGGAUUUUAACGAUUUUGAUAGUUAUUAACGUUUUCGGGGAUUGGGAACUUUUUCAAAAAAAAAAAAGAAAUAUGAAACCCUUCUCUCAAGUAUCACUUGGUUAGUUUUUAGCGUUUCUGAGUUUGUUUUGUUUCGCAGGAGAAGACCAAGUUUCUAUUUGUUUCAUUUGUUCUUUAUCUUGUGUUCUUCUUUCCUUCAUAGCCGUUGAAGUUCUUUGCCGGCUCUUCUUGGAAUUCGCUCCGAACUCCAGUUAAGUGGAGAAUAACUGUAACGAUGUGGAUUCUCAAAAAAAAAAAGCUCAGAUUUCUUUUCCUAUUAAUUAAAUUUCUCUAAACGAGAUGGUUUUUUUUGUUUAAGUAAAUAUAUCUCAACCUUUUGUUUUCGUUUGACCAAACCGGUUGGUUUAUCUUAAUUAAUUAUUUUUACCUAGCUAUAUAUAUAUUCAUAUGCAUCUCCUCCCUCUUCCUUACCCUAGCCGCACACGUCUCCUUAAAUUGCGAUCAAAGGAGGAAGCCACUACCAUCACACGCCUCGUUAGGUGCCGCCGCAUCCAUGAUGGUGAAGUUAUGUACCGGAUCCGUUAGAUGGUGAACAUGACCGAGAUAAGGAGGGAAGGUGAAGACAUGCCACCGUCUCAUCGCCACCGUAUCAUCACCACUCGUCAACUCCAAUGCGGUCUAUAUGCAUGUUCAUGGGAUGAACAAGUCAGUAACGGCUCCACUGCACUUGCAAAGGAUACCAUUAAACCUUGCACUGAAUCUCAGUUAAGACGACCCUCAGUACGUCUCAUUAGUUCACCACCUCGGUCCUCUUCAGCUUCUUCAGGAUUUCGAACCUGUAAAUAGGCAUCUCUGGCUUGAUGGUUUCCACAGAUUCAUAGCUCCUCUCUACUCAAAAUUCAGAAAAACUCAUGCAAGAACAAUGGCCGCUUCCCAGAUCUCUCUUUGCGACUAGAAGAAACAAUUAUUUCAAGCUUUGUAAUUCUGUUGUUGCCAUCUGUUUUAACGAUUUAACGAAGAUGGUUGAAGUGCCUGCUGUUGCUAAUCCAAUCCCACUGAGAUGUUUAGGUUCUGAAAUGUUGAGCAGACAUCAUUGGUGCGGUUUGCGACAUCAGGGCAAAAUACAAUGACCACACUCAGACUACUCAGCGAGUGUUCCAAGAAGCUCCAACGAGGAAUUUCAUCUUUCAUCUGCACUAAAUGUUUUAAUGCAAAUGCUGUUGGAGUUUUCAGGUACCGUGUUCAGAUGCUAGUGGAGGCGGGUGUAAUGACCCAAAUUCUGGUCCAAAGAAUUCAGGUCGAGGCCCAACACCUUUUUCAAAAGUCCAAGUGAGUGGGUCGCCGGAGCUCGUCGCCGAAGCAACCGUGUGCCGUGAUCACGUUCAGCUCGACACCACCGUUCGCAACCCUAGGUAACCACCACAAAGUCAUCAUGCAUUUAGUUUAGUUUCGGCCAUUUUAGUAAAUCUAUCAUAUCUCCCUAACCGUUGAGAAUCUCGUGCAUUCAAGACCACCAUCGUGUUCCUCUCGUCGAGACAAAGCGGUAGACACAAACCACGCCGCAAUCAGAGCCUGGACGAAGCCGUUAGAGCCUCCCGAAGUUUCACAUCCGCGAGCGCGUGAAACACACGUGCCGCUGCAGUCCGUCAGAGUCACCGCACCGCGCAUUCCGGCCACGCGCCGCUGUCUCCGACCGCCGUUCGCCAGAGUCGCCGUGCUCGGCCACCGUCAGUCUGCCGUUGGGAAGCCGCCGCCGCAUCGCCGCCGCACCUUCGCCACCGCCGGUAACAUUCCCUGUAAGCCACCGCCCCUCUUCCAUCGCCACCGGUGACCUGAGCCGGUGACUCGCCGGUGACUCGGCCAACUCGACUGAGUUGACUCGGUGAGUCAACUCGGUGACUCGGUCAACCGGUGGUUUGACUAGUUUAAUUGGUUUAAAUCGAUUUUGGGCUGGUUAGGUUAAAAUGGUUGGUUAUUGGAAAUUGAUUUUUGGUUAGAAGUAAACCAAAUUGCAAUUAAUUAGGAUCUGGUUCAAUUGAAUUCGAAAUCGGUUAGGGUAACCGAUCGGUUAGGUCAAAUUGAUUUCUGGUCAAGAGUUGACCGGAUUUACCUUUGACCAGCGAGUUGACUUUUCUCUAGACAUUGACCAGACCCGUUUUAAACCGUUCGAAAGGCGUUCUGACUCGAUUUUUCGCCCUGGUUUCAGAUUUGAGUCUAUUUGAGCAUCUGGAGUUCAUAGAUACCACUUCUUCUUGUUGCUAAGGUAAGGGCUUCUCCGUUUAAAUCCCGAACUAGUUUAGUGCUACCAUUAUGGAUAGUUUAGUUUCGAAACAUGAUCCGUCUCUGUGAAUCGAGUCUGUUUGAGAGUCUUGCUUGUUUAUUAUUAUUAUUGAUUGUUAAACAGGAAAUAGGAUAAUAGAGGAUUCAACGGUUGAUUAAAAUGAUUGAUGUUAAGAAUUGUUAUACAUAUGUAUAUAUAUGCGAGUCCAAGUGUGGAGAUUUGCGGGGUGCAGAGCCGUCUGUACUGGCUGCCUAUGUUUGAGGAGUUUUGCGGGGUGCAGAGACGUUUGCACUGGCUGCCAUGUUUGGGGAGAUUUGCGGGGGUACAGAGACGUUUGUACUUAUGACGCCUUAGAGAUUUGCGGGGUGCAGCGUGGACCACUAUGCUAGCGACGCCUGUAGAGUUAUAUAUAUAUAUAUAUAUAUCCUUAUGAGGAGAAUGCGGGGUGCAGAGAAUAGCUAUGUACUAUCAUCGCAUUGUUUGUCGUUGUAUGGUGCAAUAGGCAUAUGAUUGUUCUGUGUGGUGUAAUAGGCACCGUGAUUGCUUCAUGCUAGAGCUAGGCCUACAUAGUUGUAGUGCUAUGAACUGAGUUCGUGGUUUACGGUUUAGCAUCCCAUACCUCACUGGGCGAUUUCCUUGUCGCUCACCCCUCCUUUCCCCCUUUCAGGUGAGACCGACGAGCAAGAGUGAUUUUCGGACCGGUGCUAUUGGGCUUUUGGGCUUCUAUCGUUUUAUCGCUUUUAUCGUUAUCGGGCCUCUAGGCCUUUGGGCUUUUAUCGUUUAUGUUAUUUCCUAUUUCAGACUUCCGGAUUUAUGUCGUCUUUAUAUUUCAGAAUUAUGUUGUCUUUAUAUAUUUCGGACUUAUGUUGUUAUCAGUACUUUCAUUUUGACUUAUGGUAUCGUAUUGUCUUUUAUAUUAUGAUAUGGAGAUUAUUAUUAUUAUU